rnacentral:rRNA from 1 species
UGGGGAAUAUUGCACAAUGGGCGAAAGCCUGAUGCAGCAACGCCGCGUGAGUGAUGAAGGUCUUCGGAUUGUAAAGCUCUGUCUUUUGGGACGAUAAUGACGGUACCAAAGGAGGAAGCCACGGCUAACUACGUGCCAGCAGCCGCGGUAAUACGUAGGUGGCGAGCGUUGUCCGGAUUUACUGGGCGUAAAGGGUGCGUAGGCGGAUGUUUAAGUGAGAUGUGAAAUACCCGGGCUUAACUUGGGUGCUGCAUUUCAAACUGGAUAUCUAGAGUGCAGGAGAGGAGAAUGGAAUUCCUAGUGUAGCGGUGAAAUGCGUAGAGAUUAGGAAGAACACCAGUGGCGAAGGCGAUUCUCUGGACUGUAACUGACGCUGAGGCACGAAAGCGUGGGUAGCAAACAGGAUUAGAUACCCUGGUAUCCACGCCGUAAACGAUGAGUACUAGGGUGUAGGAGGUAUCGACCCCUUCUGUGCCGCAGUAAACAC